AGUGAACGCUGGCGGUAGGCCUAACACAUGCAAGUCGAACGAGAUCUUCGGGUCUAGUGGCGCACGGGUGCGUAACGCGAGGGAAUCUGCUCUUUGGUUCGGAAUAACAGUUGGAAACGACUGCUAAUACCGGAUGAUGACGAAAGUCCAAAGAUUUAUCGCCAGAGGAUGAGCCCGCGUAGGAUUAGCUAGUUGGUGUGGUAAAGGCGCACCAAGGCGACGAUCCUUAGCUGGUCUGAGAGGAUGAUCAGCCACACUGGGACUGAGACACGGCCCAGACUCCUACGGGAGGCAGCAGUGGGGAAUAUUGGACAAUGGGCGAAAGCCUGAUCCAGCAAUGCCGCGUGAGUGAUGAAGGCCUUAGGGUUGUAAAGCUCUUUUACCCGGGAUGAUAAUGACAGUACCGGGAGAAUAAGCUCCGGCUAACUCCGUGCCAGCCGCCGCAGUAA
rnacentral:rRNA from 1 species